GGCCUGAUGGUCUAGGAGUAUGAUUUGUUGUUAGGGUUAGCCAUUUGUAUGAUUCUUUCAACGAGGUCCCGGGUUCAAUUCCUGGUCAGGCCU